UACGUAGGGGGCGAGCGUUAUCCGGAUUUAUUGGGCGUAAAGCGUGCGUAGGCGGUUUAUUAAGUCCGAAAUAAAAGCCCGAGGCUUAACCUCGGUUCGUUUCGGAUACUGGUAGACUAGAGUAUGGUAGAGGCAAACGGAAUUCCUAGUGUAGCGGUGAAAUGCGUAGAUAUUAGGAGGAACACCAGUGGCGAAGGCGGUUUGCUGGGCCAUCACUGACGCUGAGGUACGAAAGCGUGGGUAGCAAAUA
rnacentral:rRNA from 1 species